rnacentral:rRNA from 1 species
AACGAACGCUGGCGGCAGGCUUAACACAUGCAAGUCGAACGCCCCGCAAGGGGAGCGGCAGACGGGUGAGUAACGCGUGGGAACGUACCCUUUGCUACGGAAUAGCUCCGGGAAACUGGAAUUAAUACCGUAUGUGCCCUACGGGGGAAAGAUUUAUCGGCAAAGGAUCGGCCCGCGUUGGAUUAGCUAGUUGGUGGGGUAAUGGCCUACCAAGGCGACGAUCCAUAGCUGGUCUGAGAGGAUGAUCAGCCACAUUGGGACUGAGACACGGCCCAAACUCCUACGGGAGGCAGCAGUGGGGAAUAUUGGACAAUGGGCGCAAGCCUGAUCCAGCCAUGCCGCGUGAGUGAUGAAGGCCUUAGGGUUGUAAAGCUCUUUCACCGGAGAAGAUAAUGACGGUAUCCGGAGAAGAAGCCCCGGCUAACUUCGUGCCAGCAGCCGCAGUAAUAC